rnacentral:rRNA from 1 species
AAGGGCACCACAAGAACGCGUGGAGCAUGUGGCUUAAUUUGACCCAACACGAGAAAUCUUACCGGGUCCGGACACACUGAGGAUUGACAGGUAUUAUUGCAGUUCAACUGCAUGUUAAAUAUGCUAGUCCUUUCAUGAUUAUGUGAUAGGUGGUGCAUGGCCGUUCUUAGUUCGUGGAGUGAUCUGUCUGCUUAAUUGCGUUUCACUAAGGGUUUAUUUUUAACUUUAAGUUAUAUAUUUUGACCCCUACUUUAAUUAGUAGUGCGUUUUGUCAACUUUAUAAUUUUAUAAUAAAACCCUGAAAGCAACGAACGUGACCG